GACGAACGCUGGCGGCGUGCUUAACACAUGCAAGUCGAACGGAAAGGCCCUGCUUUUGUGGGGUGCUCGAGUGGCGAACGGGUGAGUAACACGUGAGUAACCUGCCCUUGACUUUGGGAUAACUUCAGGAAACUGGGGCUAAUACCGGAUAGGAGCUCCUGCUGCAUGGUGGGGGUUGGAAAGUUUCGGCGGUUGGGGAUGGACUCGCGGCUUAUCAGCUUGUUGGUGGGGUAGUGGCUUACCAAGGCUUUGACGGGUAGCCGGCCUGAGAGGGUGACCGGCCACAUUGGGACUGAGAUACGGCCCAGACUCCUACGGGAGGCAGCAGUGGGGAAUAUUGCACAAUGGGCGGAAGCCUGAUGCAGCAACGCCGCGUGCGGGAUGACGGCGUUCGGGUUGUAAACCGCUUUCGCCUGUGACGAAGCGUGAGUGACGGUAAUGGGUAAAGAAGCACCGGCUAACUACGUG
rnacentral:rRNA from 1 species